rnacentral:rRNA from 1 species
UACGAAGGGGGCGAGCGUUGUUCGGAAUUACUGGGCGUAAAGGGCGCGUAGGCGGCCGAUCAAGUCAGAUGUGAAAGUCCUGGGCUUAACCUGGGGACUGCAUUUGAUGCUGAUUGGCUUGAAUUCGGGAGAGGAUAGCGGAAUUCCCAGUGUAGAGGUGAAAUUCGUAGAUAUUGGGAAGAACACCGGUGGCGAAGGCGGCUAUCUGGACCGACAUUGACGCUGAUGCGCGAAAGCGUGGGGAGCAAACAGG